GGUAUCGCCGUUAGUCAUGUGCAAAUAUGGAUAGCUGUUUUAGCCGUCUUUAUUGACUGGUUUAUAAGAGUUAUCAGAUAUCACUUUGAUUAAAUUAGAGUGCUUAAAGCAAGUGUGUUACUUGGAUAUAAAUGCAUGGAAUGAUGGAAUAUGUUGUUAUUCUAUUUGUUGGUUUUUGAAUGAUAAAAUGAUUGAAAGGAACUGUUGGGGGCAUUCGUAUUGUUGUGAGAGAGGUGAAAUUCUUAGACCACAGCAAGACGAACUACUGCGAAAGCAUUUGCCAAGAAUGUUUUCAUUGAUCAAGAACGAAAGUUAGAGGUUCGAAGGCGAUCAGAUACCGCCCUAGUUCUAACCAUAAACUAUGCCAACUAGCAAUUUGCUUUGUAUUUUUUAUGACUAAGUGAGAGGCCACGGGAAACCUAAGUAGGGUUAUGGGGGAAGUAUGGUUGCAAAGCUGAAACUUAAAGGAAUUGACGGAAGGGCACCACCAGGAGUGGAGCCUGCGGCUUAAUUUGACUCAACACGGGAAAACUUACCUGGUCCUGACACUAGAAGGAUUGACAGAUUGAUAGCUCUUUCUUGAUUUGGUGGAUGGUGGUGCAUGGCCGUUCUUAGUUGGUGGAGUGAUUUGUCUGGUUAAUUCCGAUAACGAACGAGACUCUACCCUAUUAAAUAAUACACGGAAUUUUAUCUUCCGCGGUAUUUCUUAGUGGGAUCAAGCG
rnacentral:rRNA from 1 species